GACGAACGCUGGCGGCGUGCUUAACACAUGCAAGUCGAACGGUAAGGCCCUUCGGGGUACACGAGUGGCGAACGGGUGAGUAACACGUGGGUGAUCUGCCCUGCACUUCGGGAUAAGCCUGGGAAACUGGGUCUAAUACCGGAUAGGACCACUGCCUGCAUGGGUGGUGGUGGAAAGCUUUUGCGGUGUGGGAUGGGCCCGCGGCCUAUCAGCUUGUUGGUGGGGUGAGGGCCUACCAAGGCGACGACGGGUAGCCGGCCUGAGAGGGUGAACGGCCACGCUGGGGCUGGGGGACGGCUCAGACUCUUACGGGAUGCAGCUGUGGGGAAUAUUGCACAAUGGGCGGAAGCUUGAUGCAGCGCCGCCGCGUGAGGGAUGACGGCCUUCGGGUUGUAAACCUCUUUCAGCCCCGACGAAGCGCAAGUGACGGUAGGUGCAGAAGAAGGACCGGCCAACUACGUGCCAGCCGCCGCAGUAA
rnacentral:rRNA from 1 species